GGCUGGUCAAAGUGCAACGGUGUUAACACUAAUCACAACCAGUUACAGAUUUUUUUGUUCCUUCUCCACUCCAACUGCUUCAUUUGACUAGCCUAUG
rnacentral:Y_RNA from 1 species